AUGAGAAGGAAUGCAUCCCCAGGACCAGAUGGUUUCAACGUAGCCUUCUACAUAGGAGCUUGGGACUGGAUUGGAGAUGACAUAGUCAAAGUGGUAAGAGAUUUCUAUGAAAAAGGUACACUUCCUGCCCAUCUAAAUGACACUCAAAUAACACUCAUUCCAAAGAAGCUGGUUUCUGUUGUUCCUGCUGAUUUUCGACCUAUUAGCUUGUGUAAUGUUAUUUACAAAAUCAUAGCAAAAACCCUAGCCAAUAGACUCAAACCUCAUUUGACGGAUUAUAUUGACCAAUCUCAGCAAGCUUUCAUUGAAGGUAGAAGGAUUAGCAACAAUAUCAUCAUAGCUCAGGAAAUAACUCAUUCUUUUGCUUUGAAAUCUUGGAAAACCCCUGCUUUCAUGCUUAAAAUUGAUUUAGCCAAAGCUUUCGAUAGACUUGAAUGGAACUUCAUUAUGCAAGCUCUCUCACGAAAAAGGCUUCAUGGUCAUUUCAUCAAAUUGAUUUAUGCAUGCAUUACGGUUCCUUCUUUUUCUGUUACCAUUAAUGGCCAAUCUUAUGGUCGCUUGCAGAGUUGCAGGGGGAUUAGACAAGGAUGUCCUUUAUCUCCUUACUUGUUUGUUUUAGCAAUUAACGAGCUUUCUAUAUCCCUCCAAGAGGCUAUGUGCUCAAAUCAUUUGGCAGGUAUAUCUUUAGGCACUGGUUGUCCUCCCAUUCACUCACUCAUGUUUGCAGAUGAUUUAUUAAUUUGUGGUCAAGCCUAUAUUACUGAAGCUACUCACAUGCUCCAUAUUCUUCAAAGAUUUUGCAACCUAUCAGGUCAAACUCCUAACUGGAAUAAAUCAGGUAUCAUUUUCAGCGCAAAUGUUAGUGCUUGCAUUAAGGAUGACAUCAAAAGAAUUUUUCCUGUUAUGGACAUCGAUGCUAAUUCAGUUCACCUUGGGCACCCUUUAAUCCUACCAGCCAAGGAUAGAUUUGCUGCUUAUAAUUUCGUGGCUAACAAAUUUCGUAAUAAACUUAGUGGUUACAAGGCCAAUAAACUCUCUCAUGCAGCCAGAUUAACGCUUAUUAAUUCUGUCUUUGCUUCCAUCCCCAUAUAUUACAUGUCUAACAUAUUAUUCUCUAGGAAGUUGAUUGCAAAGCUCACGGCCAUCAUUAGAAAUUUUUGGUGGACAGGAAUAAAAGAGGAACCGAGGUCUAGAGCACUUUGUCUUAGGGCAUGGAAGGACAUUUGUAUUCCGAAAAGUGAAGGAGGCCUAGGAAUAAGGAACAUCCAAGCUAUGAACAGAGGCCUUGUUCUUUCAGCGGCAUGGAGAAUUACGGAAAACCCUGAUUGCUUUCUCUCAAGAGUUCUCAAAUCCAAAUACUUUCCUGACUCAUCAAUUUGGAGAGCUAGUUCAAAAGUUCCAAAAUCUGCCUUCUGGUCAUCCAUUUUAAAAAUUCGCCACUUGCUUUACUCGAAUUCUUUUUAUCAACUUAUUGAAGGUGACUCUUCUAUAUGGAGCACUCCGUGGUGUCCUGUUUGGGAAUCCAUCUAUAACCACCUUAUAAUACAACCUGGUCACUUCAUUUAUCCUUCGCAAGUUAAGGAUCUAUGGCUGCCUAACCAAAAAGCUUGGAACACCAGCCUUAUUUGCACACUCUUUGAUGAGCAGGCAGCUAACAUCAUUAUGCAGGUUCCAAUAAUUCAAUUGGAAGGUACUGACAUCCUAUGUUGGAAGCUACAUAAUUCAGGAAAAUGUAAUUCCAAAUCAGCAUAUAGAGCUUGCCUACAGGAUAUGCAGGAACAUGGCGAGCCUUUACCUAGACAGGCAUCUACAUGUGUAAAGCAUAUUUUAAAACAAACUUGGAGAGAGUACAAACAUUCGCAUGGAUGCUACUUAGGAGGGCAAUUCCCACAGGUAUGA
rnacentral:rRNA from 1 species